rnacentral:lncRNA from 1 species
GGCUGAAUAACUGACAGUAGUGUGAAUUGCAAAGGGACGACAUCAACACAGACUGAAUAUUCAGCAUGAAUGCUGACAUUUCUUGAACUAUGCAUAAUAGCUGGGAAGAACAAGCACAUUUCCGGAGACUUGUUGGGAGAAAUCCAUAAGAAGUAUUAGACUAUGACCAGAUGGCGUACCUGCCUCGCUGGAACCAGAUGCACGUUCUACUGUCUGCUCAGUUGCCAAGGCAGAAUAAUGCAAACUGUACACAUGUGUACUCAAGAACCUCUUUCCCUCAUCCUUGGAGGAAGGAGUAAAUGAGCAAGGAGGGGAAGCCUUGGAGAACCAGA